GUGUCUUUUCCAUGUCGUCUACGUCUCCUCCUCCCUCUUCAUCUGCAUGCUACUAGGCAACAUCCCGCCUUCUCUUACACACAGUUCUCAUGCACCUGCUUAGGAUCUCCAUGCUCUCACCGUAGGUAGGACUUCCUGGCUGGCCGGCAGCGCCUGGCUGGUCGCCGCUGCCGGUGUCAGGACUGCCCCUCUGCUAUGUUGUUACAGAUGAUCUUGCCUCUACACCAUGCAACUCACAUCGCCCUUUGUUUCCUUUAACGGAGGCAUCCAACGGAAUUCUAUGUGAUGUCUUUCUCUGUACCAUGUCUCACUGCUAGAAGAGGAGACCCCAGGUUCAUGCCCCUAUUGCUGCAGAUCGAAUCCACGCCCCUGUUGCUGUAGAUCCAGACCAUGCCCUUUUUGCUGCAGAUCCAGAUGACAAAGGAACAGGAAGUUGCGCAGUCAAAAGAUAGAGAAUUCAAUGCUCCCAAUAUUGCUGCCAGAACCAACAAGACAUAAUUUACAACUAUUGCGGUAGAUUGUGGUGCGUGGUUGAUUUCUCGGUACAGAAUAACGUGUUGCAUGCAAUAGUAUAGGUUGAAAAUGGAAGGAUGGCAAAUUAACGACAGAUCAACUGCACUAGGUACGUCAUGCUGAGAGUUACAGGAAGGAUGACAGGAUGUGAGUAAGCCUGUGAUGCGUGAUGUUGCUGACAACGACAUCAGAAGGCUUUCGUCAGCGGCCAAUGGUACAGGUUAUAUGAUUCGAUUGUUGCUGCAUUUUAUUCUUUGUAUCUUAAAUUACUCAUUUGCAAAAAAGAAGUAGCUAAGUUACUCAAGUGCUCCUUUAUGGUUUGUCUUGAAAGCAAGAUUGGUUGUCAUGCUUCAUAAUAUUUUGACACAGCCAGUCAAACAUAGAGAAGUCACCUCUGCCUUGCCGUAGCAACAACUGAUGAAGUUUGUCUUUUUAGAUGCCCCAAAAAUGCUUAGGGUUAAUUAUCCUUUUGCCCUCAGUGGUGUCCAUGUGCUCAGUUUUGCCCUCAGAUGCGAAUUGUGCUCAGUUUUGCCCCUAGUCCGUGCGCACCGACUCGUUCCGUGAACUCUGCCGUCUCCGUCAGGUCAACCUUUUGACUCCGCCCUUACAGGUGGGACCAGGCGACAGAAACGGCCAAUUUUAUUCAGACCGUUGCACGCGUGGCUUGUGGGACCCAGCAGAGAGCCGUUGGCGGGUGUGCUAUAUAAGCGGGUGACAGCGGCGGUGACCACGGCGACAGAGAGCACCGCAGUGAGCACGGCGAGAGAGAGAGAGCAUGGCGGCGGGAAGCUAGCUGUAGAGGGCACGGCGGUGGGAAGCUAGCAGUGGAGGGCGCGGCGGCGUUGAGAUCCCUUCGGCUCCGAGCUCCAUGUCUUCCUCAAGCUCCCGCGCCACCUCGCGGAUGCAGAGCCGGGCGCGUGUGGACAUGCCUGUCUUCGUCUGUCUGUGGUGCCGGGCGGGCGUUGAUCGGAGGGUUUCUCAGACACCGAGGAACCAGAAUCAUCCGUUC